rnacentral:lncRNA from 1 species
AACAACACCCCUCCCCGAUCACCGUCGCUGGGAUCAAGAGCAGCCCCCAUGAAGGAACCUGCAGCACCACUAAAGAAGUCACGAGCACCGCCUCCCAAGCAAAGACAGAGAAAGAAGAAAACAAAGGAGCCUGAAGUGACUCAUAAGUGACUCAUAAGGAACGCUGGGAGGCAAUGAUUCAUGCGGAACAAUGGGCAAAAAUCCAAGGAGAG